CAGUAGCAAGACACGAAGUUAAAGUAAAUGGUGUGUAUGCUAUAUUUUUUUGUAUUACAUGAAUGUCCAGAUCUUGGUUUCAUUCCAGUGAAAAAGAAUAUUGUUAUACUCAAACCCUAGAUGUUGUUCUCCAAUUGCAAGGAUAAAGAAAAUGAAAAGAUGGAAAGGAGAACCUGUAGGGAAAUAAAGCACUAACAAAGAUGCACGACAGUGUAAUAAAUAGCGAAGGAUAACCAAGUCUAAACAUUCCCUUCUAUUUGAAUCAAGAGGAGACAAAUAAAUUCAAGCACAAGCAACACUUUGGGCAGCAAGUAUAUCAGCAAACUGAAUAUGACAAGAAAAAACUACAUCAAAUCAAACGAGACACCUAGAUUUUAGGUGGAAAACCUCUGCAUAGUGGAAACCACAGGACCAAAGCUCCACUAUAAUCAACAAGAGUUGCAAUAUGUUCUCCAAAAUGGCCACCAAAGAAAGGUCAAACGAUGGGAUAGCACCAAAGAACUUGAGAAAUAGAGUAAGAUCACCAAAACACAUAUAUUGUGCACGAGCUGAAAUCUGGUGCUAUGGGACUCCAAAUCCACCUCUGUCAUUUCCCAAUCAAAGAUUAAGAUAAAAUGAACAAGCUGCCCAUAUAUCAAUGCAAUCGGACAAGGAAUGAACCAGGAACCAAUAUUUGAAAUUGGCUGCUAGGGCUGAAAGAUUUUGGGCAAAAAUCUACACUCACACUUUUCUCUAUAUGGUUGUUAAUCUCUAUCUAUAUGUGAAAAUAAGACAAUUAAAGAGGUCUUACAUAUGCACCAUUUAGUGUGCUUAUGGGCAAAAGUGGACUCCAAAUUGGACUUUUAUUUAUCCACAUAGCCGAAGACCCUGCUUUAUACAAUAUUUUAUCAAAAGGACCAAUAUAGUGCACCACCAUGAGACCUUAUCUUAAAAGGAUCACACAAAUCGGAAUGCAUCAACACCAGCAAAUCAAGCUUUCUUGAAGAUGGUUAUCAUACUCAAAGUGACCAGUCUGAUAUCAAUGCUCCAGUGCACGAUGAUAUGGUUGGCCAACAACCAACUGUUAUUGGUGCAUGUUAUUGAUGAACCUGAGAGAUCUCUCAGAAGAUCUACAAGAGAGAAAAUACCUUCAUCUUGUUAUUCUGCAAAUGAGCAUGUACUCUUCACUAACGGGGGAGAACCUGAGAGUCUUGACGAGGUCAUGGAAAGCGAAGGAAAAGAAAGACGGUUUGAUGAUAUGGGAGAUGAGAUUAAAUCUUUACAUAAUAAUCAUACACUACCUAAAGACAAAAAAGCUUAGAAAAACAGGUGGGUCUUCAGGGUGACACAUGAAGAUGGCCACCCAGUUCCAUGAUACAAGGCUAGAUUAGCUGUGAAGAGAUUUAUCAAAAAAAAGAAAGGAGUUGAUUUUGAUGAGAUAUUUCUCUCCCGUUGUGAAGAUAUCAUCCAUUUGCAUGGUUCUUGGCUUAGCUGCAAAUCUGAAUUUAGAGGUUGAGCAAAUGAAUGUUAAAACUACUUUACUCCAUGGUGACUUAGAUGAAGAAAUUAUAUGGAGCAUACAAGGCUUUGAAGUUGAGCGAAAAGGAAAUUAUGUUUGUAAACUGAACAAGAGCUUGUAUGGUCUAAAACAAACUCUCAAGCAAUGGGUACACGAAGUUUGGUUCUUUUAUGGGUCAACGGGGCCUCAAGAAGACUCCUUCAGAUAAUUGUGUUUUUGUGCAAAAACUCUAUGAUAGUAACUCUAUCAUUGUUUUGUUAUAUAUUGGUGACAUGUUUGUUGGUGAUCAUAAUGCUUGUUGGAUCAGAAAGCUGAAGCAAGAGUCGAAUAAGCCUUUUGCUAUGAAAUACUUGGGACCAACAAGACAGAUUCUUGGCAUGCAGGUUGUGUCCGUGACAGGAGGCCAAGAAAUUGUGGCUAUCACAAGAGAAAUACGUGAGUUCAACAUGGACAAAGCUAAGGUUUGAACAAGAAGCAGUAUCCUAAUAAUGAAUGGUGAGAAGGAAUAUAUGAGAAAGCUCUUUAUGCUUAAGUUGUUGAUAGUUUGAUGUAUUCAAUGGUGUGUAAAAGCAGUGUUUUGGGAGGCGAGAAGCGGAAAAAAGCGACGAGGGCUUGCUUUACAGAAGUGAGAAGCGAAGCGCGUACUUUUUUUAAAAAAAAGCGACAUUUAGUAUAAAAAUAAAAAAAUAUCAAAUAACUAAAUAGAGGUAAUAUAGUCUUAUUUAGAUUAAAAGAAAAUAGAUAGUCAAUAAUACUCAUAAGUCAUAACAUAUAAAGCAAAAAAUCAAAAACAUAAUUAAAUCACAAAGACUCGAACUCCUAUUCUUCAACAAGAUCUUCAAACUCGUCAAGUGUCAUAACCAAGGGUUAUAAUUGGUCAUCAUCUUCUUCAUCAUCAGAAGUGUCAAAAAAUAAUAAAAAAAGAGCUGCUAGCAUACACACUGAUCACUAAAUAAAAACGAAAAAAAAAGCAAAAGAAUUGAAAAAAACGGAGGAGGCAGUCAGUAAUUGUGAACAGAAACUGAGCAGAUCGCAGCAAAGAUGAAGAGAAGAAGAAGAAAAAACUACAGCAGUCGCAUCGUGAAGAGAAAAGAAACUCACAGAGAUGAAGCAAAGGCGAAGAUUUUAUAUUUCAAAAGAAAAGAAACUCAUAGAGAUGAACUAAUAAACAUUGGUUAAAACUUACCUGCAGUCGCGGUCGAGAUGUGAAGAGAGACACAGUCUCAGGCGCGGUCGUGAAGAGAGAAGAAGCGAAAGAAGAGUCGUGAAAGAAAAAUUAAGUUAUAUUGUAUAUUUCAGAUUUAAAAAAAAACUAAUUUUUUUUAAAAAAAACUAAUUGUCGCUUUUUUAUAAAAAGCGCGCUUUUGCCUUAGUGUCGCUUCUCGCUUCUUUAUCUGAAGCGAGCGCCUUUUUCAGAUCGCAUCGCCUCAGGAAAAAGAAGCGCACUGGUGUCGCGUCGCUUUGAAGCGCGCUUUUCACAACACUGUGUAAAAGACCAGAUAUUUCUCAUGUUGUUGGUAUUGUUAGUCGUUUCCUUUCUAAUCUAUGAAUAGAGUAUUCGAAUGUCGUGAAGUGGAUUAUGAGAUUUUUUUUUUAGGAUUGGUAUUGUUGUAUUCUUCAGCAUUGGGAAUGUCGGCCACCAUCAAAACAUGCUACAAAGCAAGUAGACUCCAGCUUUUCCAAGCUCCUAGAAAUUCUUCUAACUCCUCUAUUUUUUAAUGACACUUCUAACUCCUCUAUUUCCUCUAUAUAGUUUUGUUUACACCAACAAAAUAAAAUCAUCAGACAAUUCCAUUUCACAUCAUGGACUGCUUUGAUCUUGUCGAAUCAUAAAAUAUUUUUAUGGCGAAUCUAGUAUGAGUUUGUGUUAUGGCCAGGAAAGCCUAUUCUUUGUGAUUACACUAAUUCAGAUUUUGUCGAUAAUGUUGAUACUCGCAAGUCUACUUUAGGCUACUUGAUUACUUUUGUAGGAAGAGUCGUGUCUUGGAAUUCUAGAUUGCAAAAUACGUGUUGCUCUAUCUACUACAGAAGUUUAGCUUACGAGUUGCUCGGGAUGAAGAGAUUCUUAGGGGAACUUGGUUGUGCCAAGGAGAAGCAUGUGCUUUAUUUAAAUAGUCAAAGUGUUAAUUCACCUUGGCAAGAAUUUUACAUUUCAUGGUCGAUCUAAAUACAUUGAUGUGAGAUACUAUUGGAUUCAAGAUGUGUUGGAUUCUAGGUUGCUUGAACUUACAAGGUGAAUUAUUUCACAUGGCUUUUGGCAAAGGAGGAAGUCUUGACACAUGAAAACUUGAACAAGAGGAAACACAACCUUUCCUCUAGAUGUUAUUUAUGCGAAGAACAGGUGGAGACAGUCAACCAUCUCUUUUUAGAUUGCAAAUGGACAGAUCAAUUAUGGCAGAUGUUCAUUCACAAAAGGAAGAUCAAGUGGACAAAACCAGGGAGAAUCACACAAGUUCUAAAAUGCUGGAAUAGUGAUGGAAAUGCAGGAAAAGAGGAGGAGAGAUGGAGGAUUGACCCAACAUGCAUCUGGUGGACAAUUUGGAAUGACAGGAAUCAAAGAUGUUUUGAAGAAAAGAACAACAAUAUUCAGAAGAUAAAGAUAAACUGCCUAGGUCUUUAUUAUUUUUGGUGUAAGCAAGUAGUAAUAGAAAAUUCUGAAGAUGUUUUUAAUGUUAUUGACUGGCUGUAACUAGAAGAUAUUAGGGCUGAUGUAAGUAUAAUUUUUGGUGGGGAACUACACUUUGAUGUAGUAUACCUGUGGAUGUAUAGAAGUAAAUGUUACCUUUCUCAAAAAAAAAUGGUUGCUUGAACUUGAUGAUAAUGGUUCCGACAUGAUGACUAAAGACUUGCCAAUAGGGAAGUUAGAAGAAUGUUGCAUAAUUGUCAGGAUAGUGAUCUUCUCCACAUAGUAGGGAGGGGAGAGAAUUGUCAGAUUUUGGGUCUUUUUUCUUUCCUAUGAGGAUAAAUGAAAGCGUAAUUUGGAUCAACCCAAUUUUGCCCAUAAACCCAAUACUAUGGUGCAUAUUAAGACUUCCUUUAAGGUAUUAUUUCCAGAUAUACAAGAGUAGAGAUUAUCAAACAUAUAGAGAAAAAAGUGAGUGUAGAUUUUCGCCCAAAAACUUUCAGCUCUAGCAGCCAAUUUCAAAUUGCAAUUCCUACUUCGUUCCUUGUCUAAUUGAGCAGAUAUUUAAAAAGCUAAUUCACUUAAUUUUAAUCUUUAAUUGAGAUCUGUCAAAGGUAAUUCAAUGUCAUGUAGCUCUAUUUUUUCAAUUCGUGAACAGUAGCUGCAUUUUGGUGAUUAUAUACUUCUCUAGUUCUUUGGUGCUAUCUUGUAGUAGUUAUUGUUGCUCGAUAUUUGGCAAUUCUUUGGUGGUCAUUUUGGAAACGUAUUGUAACUCUUGUUGAUCACAGUGGAGCUUCGGUCCUGUGUUUCUACUCUUCACUCCAAAGAGGUUUUCCACGUAAAUCUUUGUGUCUUUGUAUGGUUGGUUUAGUUCAUAUUUAUUUUGUUGAUAUACUUGCUGCCCAAAACGUUGCUUGUGCUUGAAUUUGUUUGUCUUCUUUUGAUUCAAAUAGAAGGGAAAAUUUAGACUUCAGUAUCCUUCCGAUAUUACUCUAUCGUGCACCUUCGUUAGUGUUUGUCUUUCCCAACAAUACCCUUAGAAGAAAAUUAGAAGGCAGUUAAGGAAGCAAAUUAGACAUCAAGCUUUUAGUCUUGUAUACCUGUUGUGGAUGUGGGUUACUCAAUUAAGUUAAGAAUUUAAUUAAAUUUCAAGUAGAUUUAUAUUUUUUAUAUUUUAAGUAGCUUUAUUUAUUAUUCUAGAAUAGGAUUUAUGUUUCAUAGCUUCAUAAGAAUUAGGUUAAGCUAUAGUUAUAAGUUUGGAAUAGGAUUUAGGUUUCCUACUUUCAUAAGGAUUAGACUUCCUAUUGUUGUAAUAAGACUCUUAUUUGAAAGUGUUUCUUAUGAAUAAAUCAGUAAGUCAUAUAUCAAAAACAAAAAAAAA